GAAAAUUCCAAAUAAAAACUUCAUGGAAUUACGGAUAGAUCUAACCAGAUCUCAGCUAUAUAACAGUCUUUUGGUUGACCUGACCUGACCACAGCACCGAUCCUCUCCUCCGUUUUCACUUCCACAGAAACCAAAACGGGAAACCAAAACGGGAAAACAAACCCAAUACAACAACCACCAUGAAUGACCCUUUAACCCUUCUCAUUUUCGCGGUUUUGAUCGCUUCUUCUGUCACCCGUGUGAGCUCUGACGCCUCCAAUCACCGCUACAAGCA
rnacentral:misc_RNA from 1 species